ensembl:lincRNA Gm26895 predicted gene, 26895
GCCAUACACAUACCUGAAAAUCUGUCUGUCAGCAGGGCCGAGGGAGAAUUGCUAGGGACUUCUGGUUCAAUGAGAAACUGUGACCUCCAGGUUUAGAGAUAGACCCUAACUCAAAAGUAAUAGGGAGAAGAUUAUAAAAGAGAACAGCUGAUGUCCUCUUAAGAUUUCUGUGUGUGUGUGUAUACAGGUUAUGUGUUUAGACUGGCACAUGACAAAGUGAUUUUAUUUUGGGAAAUAUAUAUAUUGAGAGAGGGGACUUAGCACCUGCUGGAAGCAAAAGGAAAUUCUGGGCAUGCUCAGUGGCGGCAUCCUGGGAGAAGGAAAAGAUAUUUCUGGUCUUCGAGAUGGGACCCCUGUGGUUAUCUAGGCAAACAUUGUCUGUCUGUAUUUCCUUGUCACUGUGGUAGGUAAGCCUACUCAAUGUCUCAAGAGACCUUAGUCAGAACCCUCCACAGGAGGUCCUUUCUUUCCCAGCCCAAGCAAGAAACAUCAUAUGACACAUUUCCUAACAGCAGAGAGGACUGAAUACAAUCUAUGCCAUGAGCCAAAGAUGCCCUUUUUUCUGAUUCACAGACCUGCAUCUCUUGUAGCAUUCGUUUAAUCAAAUAAAUGUCUCCAUG